GGAGGAGGACUGGAGAGAAGAGAGUGAGGUAAGGAGAGGGAGGAGGGCUGGAGAGAAGAGAGAGGAGAGAAGAGGGAGGAGGACUGGAGAGAAGAGAGUGAGGUAAGGAGAGGGAGGAGGGCUGGAGAGAAGAGAGAGGAGAGGAGAGGGAGGAGGGCUGGAGAGAAGAGAGAGAGGAGAGGAGAGGGAGGAGGGCUGGAGAGAAGAGAGUGAGGUAAGGAGAAUAAUAUCUCUGUUAAAUCACUUGAUUUGUGUAUAUGUCUGCGUCUAUGUGUGUGCGUGUGUGUGUGCGUGCCUUCGUG
ensembl:lncRNA